CAGAAACAUCGAUGAUGAGAGAGAAACAUCGAUCAGCUGCCUCCUGCACACCCCCCACCAGUUUCUGUAGGAUAUGGGCCUCUGUGAUCCAUCUCCAGCAUGGUUGGCUUUUGAUGGAAAUGGCUGCUGAAUUUCCCCAGAGCAAACCGAAUGUAGGGAGGAGAGAAAAGGAUGUAAGAGCAAGGAACUGUGGACAUGGAGAAUUUCUUAGUUUGAAACCCAGAAAAAGGCUCCCUCCGGAAACUGAUCAUGUUGGCACCGUGACCUUGGACUUCCAGCUUCCAG